AGCAGCUUAGUGUCUCCAGGAAAUGCUUGAGAGGAUCUUUUAUGUACCCAGGAGUUAACUGCUAGUCAUUUAAGAGUAAUAUUCUGAAGCCAUCAAGGGAGGUCACUCUAAUUCCUUUUAAUGUGUGCUGAAGAAAGGGCAGCACAGCUGAAGCCUGAUUUAAAAUCUGAUCUUCUCCCUAAUGUCACAAGGACAUCCUGAGACAAUGGCUGAGGAGCUAUGCACCAGUACCCAGCUGGAUCCCUGAUACUUACAUUGGCAGAUGCAUUAUCAACAGAGACAUCGAUUUAGAGUGAAUUAAAGGAAUUACAAAGAUCAAGAUGAAUUCAGUGAAGCUUCCCAUAGGACUGUUCAAAGAUCUCCAGGCCUGCCAUUCAUGCAUUCAUGUGAGAGAGACACUUUGGGCCUAAGAAAUGAAGGCCAAUUCAUGUGGAGUCAGUCCUCUUAUAACCACAGUAGGAUAGAACUUGUUUCUGAGACCUUCAGAAGGACUAAGCCCUAGGCAAACAGCCCCAGUGAAGUCAGCUCUAAGGACAUAUUGAGGUAAGAACUAGGGAAAAUUCAUGUUUUAUUUCCCUAUUGCUUUUAAAAUCCAAUUUAAAAUGUAUUACCUAUCAAGAGAGAAUUCUCUAUAAUUUCGUGAAAAUGAUUUAUAUGGCUCCGGAUAUGUAUUUUUUUGUCCCCCUUUUCCCCUCCCAUUUACUCCUUCAGCCACAGGUAAAUACUUUUUGCCAUGACCUCUCUCUCUGUGAAAUCAAACUAAUAUGCUAACUUUUGUUUGCUUUUCUUGUGCAACACUGCUGAUGAGAAACAUUUUGUCCUCCUUCGUCUAUUUCUGUUAUAUUAUUUUAAGACCUGUCAUUAUAAUAAAAAAUAUCUUAAUGCUGAUAAUGACAUUGAUGAUGGUUAUGAUGACUUCAAGCUCUGCCCUAGACAAUUAACUCCAUAAAGGCAGGAACUGUAUCUAUCUUCUUUAGCAUUUCAUAAGGCAAACCCAACAGUGUCCCUGACUUGCAGCAAGUACUCAAGAAAAAUAUUUGUUAAAUGAAUGAAAAUGCUAGCAGAGACCAUUGGCUGAAAGUUUGCUAAUAUAAUCUUUAUAUUUUAUAAUCUUUGUAUUUUAUAUUUUUACAACCAUCUUUGGAAACAGGUAUUUAUUAUGCCGAUUUUGCAAAUGAGAACACUAUCUUCAAUGGAAGGAUAACCACAUCUACAUUUGAAGUGUAGUUAGAGGGAUGCUCCUCAAGCUUUAAUAUAUAUUUGAAUCACCUGAGGAAUCUUAAUAAAAUGCAAAUUCCUAUUCAGUAGUUCUGAGUUGAGGCCCAAGUUUCUGCAUUUCUUACAAGCUCCCAGGUGAUGCCCACACGGCUGUUCUGAGUGAGCCAGCACUCUGAGUAGCAACAUUCCCUUAGAAUUACCUGCAGAUGAGUAUGUAAAAUUCAAAUUAUUGGUCUACACAGAUAUACUAAAUCAUAAUCAUAGUUCGGGAAAUGAGAAUCAGCUACCUACAGUACAAGCAAUCUGGUAAUUAUUAUGAAAAUUAAAUGAGUAAAGUGUGUGUUAAGUGCUUUAUAAACCAAAAGUAGUAUGUAAAUAUUAGAAUAACAUUUUUAUUUUAUAAUUGUUACUAUUAUUAUUGUUUGAUGGUGACACAAAUUUGAUUUCUGUACCACUCCAAGCAUGUAUAUUGGUUGUGAAGGCUGUUUUUACCAAUAUGUAUCUACAAUAAAAUGUUCUAAAUUAAAUCGUUGGAAUAUAAUUU
rnacentral:lncRNA from 1 species